GAUUAACGCUGGCGGCGUGCCUAACACAUGCGAGUCGAGCGGCAGCGAGUUUUACACUGAAUUCUGGAAGCUUCUAGUUGAAAGAGAAGAUUUAUUCAAGAAUUUUGUGUAAAAUGUCGGCGAGCGGCGGACGGCUGAGUAACGCGUGGGAACGUACCCCAAAGUGAGGGAUAACGCAUCGAAAGGUGUGCUAAUACCGCAUAUGGUCUUCGGAUUAAAGCCUUCGGGCGCUUUGGGAACGGCCUGCGUAAGAUUAGAUAGUUGGUGGGGUAAUGGCCUACCAAGUCGACGAUCUUUAACUGGUUUGAGAGGAUGAUCAGUCAGACUGGAACUGAGACACGGUCCAGACUCCUACGGGAGGCAGCAGUGAGGAAUCUUCCACAAUGGGCGAAAGCCUGAUGGAGCAACGCCGCGUGCAGGAUGAAGGCCUUCGGGUUGUAAACUGCUUUUAUAAGUGAGGAUUAUGACAGUAACUUAUGAAUAAGGAUCGGCUAACUACGU
rnacentral:rRNA from 1 species